rnacentral:rRNA from 1 species
CGUAACGGGGGCAGGCCUUCGGGACAGAAGAGACAGGUGGUGCAUGGUUGUCGUCAGCUCGUGUCGUGAGAUGUUGGGUUAAGUCCCGCAACGAGCGCAACCCCUAUCCCCAGUAGCCAGCAGUAAGAUGGGCACUCUGUGGAAACUGCCAGGGACAACCUGGAGGAAGGCGGGGAUGACGUCAAAUCAUCAUGCCCCUUAUGAUCUGGGCUAUACACGUGCUACAAUGGCGUAAACAGAGGGAGGCGAAGGAGCGAUCCGGAGCAAACCCCAGAAAUAACGUCCCAGUUCGGAUUGCAGGCUGCAACCCGCCUGCAUGAAGCUGGAAUCGCUAGUAAUCGCGGAUCAGAAUGCCGCGGUGAAUACGUUCCCGGGUCUUGUACACACCGCCCGUCACACCAUGGGAGUCGGUAACGCCCGAAGUCAGUGACCCAACCUUAACGGAGGGAGCUGCCGAAGGCGGGACUGGUAACUGGGGUGAAGUCGUAACAAGGUAGCCGUAUCGGAAGGUGCGGCU